GAGGACCUUAGCUUGAGGAAGACACACCACCUCAAGCUCGGACCAUCUCAUCACCUCAGCAUUGAAAGAGAGGAAAUAACAGAUUCUAGUGGAAGCAGUUCUUCUGAACCUGGGGGCACCCAACACCAGGAGGCCAGAACGUCUACAAUGAAGGCUAAAUUAUCAGCCCUCACUUUUACUCGACUUCUUUGAGCCUGACUCAAACCCUGAGACCCCAAACUAAGGACAACCGCAAUGGUGCACUUACACUUACUGCAGGGAAAUGCCGUCUGACUUGGAGAGGAAAUGCUGCAGACAGAGGCCAGAGAACUGGAUCAGCAGAUCGGCAUACAUGGACUUGUAUGUCUUGGAUGAGGGUGUUCUGCAACUGGCCCGUGCUGCAUGGAAUGAUGUCUUUGCAGUUGAUGAAGACCAGGAGCCAGGUGUGGAGCAUCGUCAGUACAGGCGCACAGCUUACAGACAAUAUGUCUUGUGGCAUUAUGCUUGUCUAGGUGAAGAUAACAGAGUGGUGAUCCCCAGCUGUACUGUAUGGAGAAUCAGGGACACAUGGCUUCCUGGGCUCCAGCCCUGAAUGUUCUAGGUUUUUAAAAUAACUUCAACUUUGUGUCAUUUCUCCUCAGUCCCUCUGACUGGACUGGCAGAUCAAUUGAGCAAAAAUUCUAUUACUGAGGAAUUAUCACCAUUGAAGUCCGCUCUAACAUUGUCAAGGGGCAUUGUUGUCUUGUGUUUGUUGUGUUUCAUUCAGUCAUGUCACCUCAGUAAGAACGUUUGCUAGCUAGCUAAUUAGUUUAUGGACUAUGGACAUAAAGUUUUUCAUGAGGAGUCAACCUCAGCCACCAUCCACAGAAAGUGGACAGCAGAUAGAAAAGAGUGUAAAGAGGAAAUGGAAGAAAGAGUACACAUAGGGCAAGAAAGGAGUGGAGAGUGAAGAAAGAAAGAGAUACAGUAAUAUGCUAGUUACUUGAGAUGUUAGAUAUACAGAUUUCUGUAUGGCUCAUAGCUUUUACAUGUGUAUAGUUUGUGAAAUUCAAAGUUUGUCAGUUUCCAAUAAUGGAAGGAUGCAGAGAAGAAAGGAAUUAAAGAGAAAGUGAAGAAAAUAAAUGAAGAGAGGGGAGGACAUACAUGAAGGAGAGACAAGGAAAGGAGAGAAGUGUGAGAACAAGCAAGGAGGGAAAAUUAGUGGGAGAACGAAGAGGAAAGGACAGGAGAAAACCCGUGGAGCAGGAGAAGAAGCAGGACAAGAGGAGGAGAGAUGAUGAGGGGAGUGAGAAAGGAGUGAAAAGCAGUAGAAAAGGAGAGAGGAGAAAAAUGUGUGAUGAGAAGCCAGGAGGAGAGGAGUGGAGAAUUGGUGAGAAGAGGACA